rnacentral:rRNA from 1 species
UACGUAGGGUGCGAGCGUUAAUCGGAAUUACUGGGCGUAAAGCGUGCGCAGGCGGUUCGUUAAGUCAGAUGUGAAAGCCCCGAGCUCAACUUGGGAACUGCAUUUGAAACUGGCGGGCUGGAGUGUGGCAGAGGGGGGUGGAAUUCCACGUGUAGCAGUGAAAUGCGUAGAUAUGCGGAGGAACACCGAUGGCGAAGGCAAUCCCCUGGGCCUGCACUGACGCUCAUGCACGAAAGCGUGGGGAGCAAACAGG